CGUAACAAGGUCUCCGUUGGUGAACCAGCGGAGGGAUCAUUAGAGAGUUCUCAUAAAACUCCCAAACCCAUGUGAACAUACCUUCUGUUGCCUCGGCAGGUCGCGCCGGCGCCGAACCGCGUAGCACCCCACCUCCGGUAGGGCCUACCCGGGACGAGCCGGCGGUCUCCCCUGCCGGCGGCCCACGAAACUCUGUUUUAGCAUAUUGAAUUCUGAACGUAUAACUAAAUCAGUUAAAACUUUCAACAACGGAUCUCUUGGUUCUGGCAUCGAUGAAGAACGCAGCGAAAUGCGAUAAGUAAUGUGAAUUGCAGAAUUCAGUGAAUCAUCGAAUCUUUGAACGCACAUUGCGCCCAUUAGUAUUCUAGUGGGCAUGCCUGUUCGAGCGUCAUUUCAACCCUCAAGCCCCCGUUGCUUGGUGUUGGGAGCCUACUGGGUCACCUGUAGCUCCCCAAAGUUAGUGGCGGAGUCGGUUCGCACUCUAGACGUAGUAGAUUUUCACCUCGCCUGUAGUGCCGGACCGGUCCCCUGCCGUAAAACACCCCUUAUCUCCAAAGGUUGACCUCGGAUCAGGUAGGAAUACCCGCUGAACUUAAGCAUAUCAUA
rnacentral:rRNA from 1 species